rnacentral:rRNA from 1 species
UCCGUAGGGGAACCUGGGGAAGGAUCAUUA